UGAAGGAUUUGAGAAAGAGAACAUUUCUAAAAAGCAUUAUAUAUAUUUAUUAACUCAUACCAUUUUUAACUUAAGGCAAUUUGAGGUAGUUUUUCAUCUUUCCCAAGAAAAACAGUAAAAAUUGCUAAUCGUUUGACAUUGGUUGCCUCAAGACAGACCCGAGCAUGAAGCAGAAGAGCUAAUGCUUCCCUGAGAAGCACUGCCCCCUUCGUUGUUCAGAAGCUGGCGAUACUGUUCAGUGGUACUAAAAACUGCCAUCUACUGUCUCUUGGGAUUGUAUCAUGACCCUACGAACGCUGAAGCUUUAGGAAAUUUCCAGGGGAAGGCCAGAGUGUUAAGAGUAUGUUGUUUACUUCCUGCUAUUACAAAAAUGUCCUGGGAGACACAUAAACUUUGAUCCAAGCUAAAAGCAAAGAAAGACUAGCACAGCAUCUUGUCAAGAGCAGCUCACGCUUCUUCCUACAUCCUAGGAUCCAGGAUGCUAAAUUAUUGAUGGGAAACAAGCUGGAGAGCCAGAGAAAGAGUGACGCUUAGUUCCUGAACCUUCCUCCAAAAAUCCUGAGACACACCAUCGGUCCAAAAAAGGGCAGUGAGAUCUUCAUCACUUUUGUGACCCAUAAGGAAACUGACACGAAGGCUUUCGGGGAUUCAGACUUACAAGCUCCACUUUAGGAAAGUGACUCACUGUGUCCCCAGAGCUGCAGUUAAAAAUCAGGAAUGGAAAGGAUGCCGUUUCUCAUCUUGACGAAGGAGGGAAAGAGAGAAGACACCGAUGGCUACCUUAAUAUUUUUUCACCAAUACAACAACUUGAUUUUAACAAGUUUUCACUGAAAAUUAAGUUUAAAAGUGGCCAGUAAAACCAUCUUCCUUAACCACAAAACUGAGGCCUACAUGUACCGGAGAGAUCAGUUGGAUGGCAUUUACAUCACACUCUGCUUUAUAUCUCAAGGAGAAAGACCAUAAUAUGGCUCACUGUAAUACAGGUGAAAAACUAACUUGGACCAGGAGCAGAGACUAGGAUUUGUCAUCAGCCCUGCCCCCACCUUGACCUUCACUCUGAAGCAAGCUUCAUGAUCUGCUUUUCCCAGCUGUAUCAGGGCCUCUGUAAUCUGAACCAGACAGCACAUACAAGCUCCUCACCUCCGUUCCAGGCACCAGCCCUUGACCCCCCAGGCUAGGCUGACUGACUUCCCGGAUGCACAGCCCUCGCUGCUGGGCUGCUGCUUCUGCUGGUCCUGCCCGGCAUGGUCAUCCCUCUGCCCUGAGCCUAAUCACUUCCUACCAUACCCAAGAGUGCUCAGCUCAGGCAUCCAUUCACGCAACAGCUAUGCAGUUUCUUCUUGGUUCCUCGGGGGCCUCAAUUGGCUGAUCAGCCAGGAAAACUCGAGCUUGGUCUAUUGCAUUCAGGACAGAAUAUUCC